rnacentral:rRNA from 1 species
CAGUCGCCACGGUAAUACGUAGGGUGCAAGCGUUAAUCGGAAUUACUGGGCGUAAAGCGUGCGCAGGCGGUUUGUUAAGACAGAUGUGAAAUCCCCGGGCUCAACCUGGGAACUGCAUUUGUGACUGGCAAGCUAGAGUCUGGCAGAGGGGGGUGGAAUUCCGCGUGUAGCAGUGAAAUGCGUAGAUAUGCGGAGGAACACCGAUGGCGAAGGCGACUAUCUGGGCCAACACUGACACUGAGGCACGAAAGCGUGGGGAGCAAACAGGAUUAGAUACCCGGGUAGUCCCUGUCUCUUAUAC